rnacentral:rRNA from 1 species
AUUGAACGCUGGCGGCAGGCUUAACACAUGCAAGUCGAGCGGGGUGAGGUGCUUCGGUACUGAUCCUAGCGGCGGACGGGUGAGUAAUGCUUAGGAAUCUGCCAUUUAGUGGGGGACAACAUUCCGAAAGGAAUGCUAAUACCGCAUACGUCCUACGGGAGAAAGCAGGGGAUCUUCGGACCUUGCGCUAAAUGAUGAGCCUAAGUCGGACUAGCUAGUUGGGGGGGUAAAGGCCUACCAAGGCGCCGAUCUGUAGCGGGUCUGAGAGGAUGAUCCGCCACACGGGGACUGAGACACGGCCCAGACUCCUACGGGAGGCAGCAGUGGGGAAUAUUGGACAAGGGGCGGAAGCCUGAUCCAGCCAUGCCGCGUGUGUGAAGAAGGCCUUAUGGUUGUAAAGCACUUUAAGCGAGGAGGAGGCUACUGAGACUAAUACUCUUGGAUAGUGGACGUUACUCGCAGAAUAAGCACCGGCUAACUCUGUGCCAGCCGCCGCAGUAACAC